GAUGAACGCUGGCGGCGUGCCUAAUACAUGCAAGUCGAGCGAACGGACGAGAAGCUUGCUUCUCUGAUGUUAGCGGCGGACGGGUGAGUAACACGUGGAUAACCUACCUAUAAGACUGGGAUAACUUCGGGAAACCGUAGCUAAUACCGGAUAAUAUUUUGAACCGCAUGGUUCAAAAGUGAAAGACGGUCUUGCUGUCACUUAUAGAUGGAUCCGCGCUGCAUUAGCUAGUUGGUAAGGUAACGGCUUACCAAGGCAACGAUGCAUAGCCGACCUGAGAGGGUGAUCGGCCACACUGGAACUGAGACACGGUCCAGACUCCUACGGGAGGCAGCAGUAGGGAAUCUUCCGCAAUGGGCGAAAGCCUGACGGAGCAACGCCGCGUGAGUGAUGAAGGUCUUCGGAUCGUAAAACUCUGUUAUUAGGGAAGAACAUAUGUGUAAGUAACUGUGCACAUCUUGACGGUACCUAAUCCGAAAGCCACGGCUAACUACGUG
rnacentral:rRNA from 1 species